GCGUUAUCCGGAUUCACUGGGUUUAAAGGGUGCGUAGGUGGGUUGGUAAGUCAGUGGUGAAAUCUCCGUGCUUAACAUGGAAACUGCCAUUGAUACUACUGGUCUUGAAUUUUCCGGAGGUAAGCGGAAUAUGUCAUGUAGCGGUGAAAUGCUUAGAUAUGACAUAGAACACCAAUCGCGAAGACAGCUUACUACAGGGAUAUUGACACUGAGGCCCGAAAGCGUG
rnacentral:rRNA from 1 species